CUUAGAAAAUGUGUUGAAGUGCCAGAGGAAAACGAUGUAGUUAUGACUGGAAGAUUCCUAUUGUAUUUGAACAAACUCCUGAAGUGGGAUGGAAAGACCAUACGAUAUGCAGAUACACUGAUGGCUACAUUCAGUCAAACUCCAGACGUCCAUUUCUACCUCUGCCGUCAAUGCAGUACCCA